rnacentral:tRNA from 1 species
GACCACGUGGCCUAGUAGACAAGGCGUCUGACUUCGGAUCAGAAGAUGGAGGGUUCGAGUCCCUUCUUGGUUG